rnacentral:rRNA from 1 species
UACGGAGGGGACUAGCGUUGUUCGGAAUUACUGGGCGUAAAGGGCUCGUAGGCGGCCAACUAAGUCAGACGUGAAAUCCCCAGGCUUAACCUGGGAACUGCGUCUGAUACUGGAUGGCUUGAAUUCGGGAGAGGGAUGCAGAAUUCCAGGUGUAGCGGUGAAAUGCGUAGAUAUCUGGAGGAAUACCGGUGGCGAAGGCGGCAUCCUGGACCGAGAUUGACGCUGAUGAGCGAAAGCUAGGGGAGCAAACGGG